rnacentral:rRNA from 1 species
GACGAACGCUGGCGGCGUGCUUAACACAUGCAAGUCGAACGGAAAGGCCCUGCGUUUGUGGGGUGCUCGAGUGGCGAACGGGUGAGUAACACGUGAGUAACCUGCCCUUGACUUUGGGGUAACUUCAGGAAACUGGGGCUAAUACCGGAUAGGAGCUCCUGCUGCAUGGUGGGGGUGGGAAAGUGUCGGCGGUUGGGGAUGGACUCGCGGCUUAUCCGCUUGUUGGUGGGGUAGUGGCUUACCAAGGCUUCGACGGGUAGCCGGCCUGAGAGGGUGACCGGCCACAUUGGGCCUGGGGUACGGGCCAGACUCCUACUGGAGGCAGCGGUGGGGAACUGUGCACAAUGGGCGGAGGCCUGGUGCAGCAACGCCGCGUGCGGGAUGACGGCCUUCGGGUUGUAAACCGCUUUCGCCUGUGACGAAGCGUGAGUGACGGUAAUGGGUAAAGAAGCACCGGCUAACUACGUG